CCUACGGGUGGCAGCAGUGAGGAAUAUUGGUCAAUGGACGAGAGUCUGAACCAGCCAAGUAGCGUGAAGGAUGACUGCCCUAUGGGUUGUAAACUUCUUUUAUAUGGGAAUAAAAUGUUCCACGUGUGGGAUUUUGUAUGUACCAUAUGAAUAAGGAUCGACUAACUCCGUGCCAGCAGCCGCGGUAAUACGGAGGAUCCGAGCGUUAUCCGGAUUUAUUGGGUUUAAAGGGAGCGUAGGUGGAUUGUUAAGCCAGUUGUGAAAGUUUGCGGCUCAACCGUAAAAUUGCAGUUGAAACUGGCAGUCUUGAGUACAGUAGAGGUGGGCGGAAUUCGUGGUGUAGCGGUGAAAUGCUUAGAUAUCACGAAGAACUCCGAUUGCGAAGGCAGUUCACUGGACUGCAACUGACACUGAGGCUCGAAAGUGUGGGUAUCAAACAGGAUUAGAUACCCCAGUAGUC
rnacentral:rRNA from 1 species